rnacentral:rRNA from 1 species
UACGUAGGAGGCAAGCGUUAUCCGGAGUUACUGGGCGUAAAGAGCGUGUAGGCGGGCGUGUAAGUGGUUCGUGAAAGGUCUGGGCUAAACUCAGAUAAGACGAAUCAGACUGCAUGUCUGGAGGCGGGUAGAGGGGUGCGGAAUUCCGGGUGUAGCGGUGAAAUGUGUAGAUAUCCGGAGGAACACCGGUGGCGAAGGCGGGUCUCUGGGCCGAAAUUGACGCUGAGGAGCGAAAGCGUGGGGAGCGAACAGG